rnacentral:rRNA from 1 species
UGCAGAAUCCCGUGAACCAUCGAGUCUUUGAACGCAAGUUGCGCCCGAUGCCAUUAGGUUGAGGGCACGUCUGACUGGGUGUCACAUAUCGAAGCCCCUUGCCAAUUUCCCUUUGACUGGUGUUGUGCAGGGUGGAUGUUGGCCUCCCGUGAGCUCUUUCGUCUCAUGGUUGGUUGAAAAUUGAGACCUUGGUAGGGUGUGCCAUGAUAGAUGGUGGUUGUGUGACCCACGAGACCAAUCAUGCGCUGCUCUAUUGAAUUUGGCCUCUUUUACCCAUAUGCGUUUCUAAACGCUCGUGAUGAGACCUCAGAUCAGGCGGGGCUACCCGCUGAAUUUAAGCAUAUCAAUAAGCGGAGGAAAAGAAACUAACAAGGAUUCCCUUAGUAACGGCGAGCGAACCGGGAUAAGCCCACCAUGAGAAUCGGUCGCCCUCGGCGUUCGA